GUAAGAUCUUCGGAUCUUUGAGAGCGGCGCACGGGUGCGGAACACGUGUGCAACCUACCUUUAUCAGGGGGAUAGCCUUUCGAAAGGAAGAUUAAUACCCCAUAAUAUAUCAGAUGGCAUCAUUUGAUAUUGAAAACUCCGGUGGAUAGAGAUGGGCACGCGCAAGAUUAGAUAGUUGGUGAGGUAACGGCUCACCAAGUCAAUGAUCUUUAGGGGGCCUGAGAGGGUGAUCCCCCACACUGGUACUGAGACACGGACCAGACUCCUACGGGAGGCAGCAGUGAGGAAUAUUGGACAAU
rnacentral:rRNA from 1 species